CAUAGCCUUUAGCAUUAAUAGUAUUAAAGGUGACGCCUGCCAGUGAAUCAUUUAACGGCCGCGGGAUCCUCCACCGUGCAAAGGUAGCAUAAUCACUUGUCCCCUAAAUAGAGACUAGUAUGAAUGGCCAAAUGAAGAUUUACCUGUCUCUUGUAGUCCAUCUAUAAAACUGAUCUUUCAGUACAAAAGCUGAAAUUUUAACACAAGACGAAAAGACCCUGUGGAACUUUUAAGCCAAAAAUCAUUAAUAUGAUAGACCGCUUUUAGUUGGGGCAACUUUGGAAAAAAAUAAAACUUCCAAUAUACCAAUCAGACAGACAUGUCUAAUUAAUUAAACCACAGAUCCAGUAAUACUGAUCAAAGAACCAAGCUACCCCAGGGAUAACAGCGCCAUCCCCUCCUAGAGCCCCCAUCGACGAGCGGGGUUUACGACCUCGAUGUUGGAUCAGGGCACCCAAGCAGUGCAGCAGCUGCUAACGGUUUGUUUGUUCAACAAUUAAUAGCCCUACGUGAUCUGAG
rnacentral:rRNA from 1 species